rnacentral:rRNA from 1 species
AGAGUUUGAUCAUGGCUCAGAUUGAACGCUGGCGGUAGGCUUAACACAUGCAAGUCGUGCGAGAAAGUAUCUUCGGAUAUGAGUAAAGCGGCGGACGGGUGAGUAACGCGUAGGAAUCUACCUAGUAGAAGGGGAUAGCCCGAGGAAACUCGGAUUAAUACCGUAUACCUCCUUUGGGAGAAAGAGGGCCUCUCUUUGAAGCUUUCGCUACUAGAUGAGCCUGCGUAAGAUUAGCUUGUUGGUGAGGUAAAGGCUCACCAAGGCUACGAUCUUUAGCGGGUCUGAGAGGACGAUCCGCCACAUUGGGACUGAGACACGGCCCAGACUCCUACGGGAGGCAGCAGUGGGGAAUAUUGGACAAUGGGCGCAAGCCUGAUCCAGCCAUACCGCGUGUGUGAAGAAGGCCCUAGGGUUGUAAAGCACUUUAAGUUGGGAAGAAAA